AACGAACGCUGGCGGCAGGCCUAACACAUGCAAGUCGAACGCCGUAGCAAUACGGAGUGGCAGACGGGUGAGUAACACGUGGGAACCUUCCCUAUGGUACGGAAUAGCCCAGGGAAACUUGGAGUAAUACCGCAUAAGCCCGAAAGGGGAAAGAUUUAUCGCCAUUGGAUGGGCCCGGGUAGGAUUAGCUAGUUGGUGAGGUAAUGGCUCACCAAGGCGACGAUCCUUAGCUGGUCUGAGAGGACGAUCAGCCACACUGGGACUGAGACACGGCCCAGACUCCUACGGGAGGCAGCAGUGGGGAAUAUUGGACAAUGGGCGCAAGCCUGAUCCAGCCAUGCCGCGUGAGUGACGAAGGCCUUAGGGUUGUAAAGCUCUUUUGGCGGGGACGAUAAUGACGGUACCCGCAGAAUAAGCCCCGGCUAACUUCGUGCCAGCCGCCGCCGUAAAAC
rnacentral:rRNA from 1 species